rnacentral:tmRNA from 1 species
GGGGUCGCAAUGGUUUCGACGGGGACCUUGAACGGUGUUAAGCAAGCGGGGUGCGUCCCAAUCCCCUUAAUCGAGGGACAAAUUAAACUUAAACGCUGACAGAAAUACUGUAGCCGCAGCCGCCUGACAGCGGCUGCCGUCCGCCGGAAAAGUACCGCGAUUUCCGCUCGGGCGUCAAUUAGCGGUCAACGUUUCAGGUGAGAAUCCUGCAGCUUGAAACGUAUUAAAGGAUUGCUUUGCCUGUUAUCCCGCUUUUCGGAGAAAAGGCAAAAAAGAUUAGUAGGAAAGAUAAGCUUGUAGAAAGACGCUCGGACGGGUUUUCGGACGGGAGUUCAAUUCUCCCCGACUCCAUGA